rnacentral:rRNA from 1 species
UACAGAGGUCCCGAGCGUUGUUCGGAUUCAUUGGGCGUAAAGGGUGCGUAGGCGGCGGGGCAAGUCUGAUGUGAAAUCCCGGGGCUCAACCCCGGAACUGCAUUGGAUACUGCCUUGCUUGAGCACUGGAGAGGGAACUGGAAUUUACGGUGUAGCAGUGAAAUGCGUAGAGAUCGUAAGGAAGGCCAGUGGCGAAGGCGAGUUCCUGGACAGUUACUGACGCUGAGGCACGAAGGCCAGGGGAGCAAACAGG